CCUCAAAGACGCGUUUUCUUACUUCGUCACUUGACAACGCGCUGACGUGGACACGCUUUCGAGGAAAUAAGGCCAUUUCAAUAAAUAAUUAUUUACCAGACCCAUUUCAAUAAAUUUUUUUUAAAAAAUAGACUUUUAUAUGUAAUUUACCAGGACAACCACUUUGCAAAAGGACUACCCAGUCAUAAAUGACUGUAGCAGGCCUCAUAAAUGAGCACACAGACCAACAAAAUAACAAGCCAAAACACAACAAAAAGUCAAUGAGAAAACAAAAGAAAUUAAAAGAAACACUCAUCUAAUUUGUAGAGACCCCGUCCCCAAACCGAAACCUAACGAUGAAAACCGGAAGCUAAAUCGUUUCCUGCAACCACAAACCCAUAAAAGAUAUGCGCAAAAAAAAAAAAAAAAAAGAAAACCACAGGAAAUUCCUCCUUGAGACACAUUUGGAGUGGAAAAUAGAAUAUUCUCCAAAGCUCAAAGAAUGCAUUCGCUGGAACUACCUCUCGGCGCUUCGUGAAACCCAUUUCUGCCCAUCUUGGUUCGCUACAAGUUCAACCUCCGUAGGAGCUUCCUCAAUCUAAAAUCGAGGUUUUGAAGGCCAAAACUCGCAUCUUGCUAGAGUAUGUGCUGCGUUAUUCGCCAAUCUUCCGACAUAGGCAAAGGUAAUAUAAUCAAACCCUCUCACCUUCCUUUUGAUAUCUUGAAUAAUCGGGCCAAACACUGAUUUGUCUGGAUUCACAUUAUGUAACUUCUUUGUGACGGUGAGCGAAUCGCCUUCCACAACGAUCGAUCGAAAACCCAACACAUUGCCAAAGGUUAUUGCCUGUUCGUAAGCUCACGCCUCCGCCGUGAAUGCAUUUGCAACAUUAUAGCGUGGGUAAGUGCAAGCUGCUAAAAUUUUCCCAUUUUCAUUCCUAGCUAUUACACUCGAUAUAGAUCUACUGGUAGUUUUAUUGAAUAAGGCAUCAUAGUUAAGUUUAAUUUGGUAUGAGAUUGGGGGGGUCCAAAACUCCUACUUUGGAACACAAGAAGAGGGGGUUAACCCCUCAAGGGCUUGUAAUUCUAGUUGGUAGCCCUUAAUGAAAACCACCAAGUCCUGUAUGCUUUGCUUAACCCCAUCAUGGAUCAACCUAUUUCACGCGUACCAGAUUGCUCAGUAAGUAAUUACAAGAGAUACCUUUUCGUUUCCAUCUAGUAAUUCAAAACCUAUCGCUAACCAUGUUUUAUAAUAACUCAUAUCGUGGUUGUGCUAUAAUAUGAUUAUAUAUAUAGAUAUAGUCCAAGGUUGGAAUCAACAUAUUAAUUGCAGCUUUCCCUAUUUUUUCCGAUUUAAAAUGAAAAUAAAGAAACUAAAAUCCAUAAUAAUAAUAAUAAUAAUAAGGAGAUUAAUUAAUAGCUUAAUAAAUGAAGGUUUUGACAUAUAAGUAGUUUGUGGUAGGUUAGGAAUGCAAGAAUAACGCGUUUCAAACACCCUUUUUCCUUUUUCGAAAGUAGUUUCUACUUUCUAGUCUUUAAUGAACAUAAAUGAAAGAUUGAUCUGAGCCAAAAGUAUAGCGGGCAGAUAAUACCUUGGCUACACUAUAAUCAACUAAAUGCGGUAUGCCCCUCUUUAUUAUUAUUAUUUUGGAAAGCAAUAUCCCCUGUUUCACAGCAUAAGAUAAAAGGAUUCUUUUUUCCUAGGUCUUCAAUCAAUGCAAAAAGAGAGAGAGAGAGAGAUUGGAUUGAAUACCUUUUCAUGCGAAUGAGCAAUCAAGCUAAUUACUUCUAAAAUUCUUAAUCACCUCUUUGCUCCACUGGCGUGCAUCUGUUUUAAAAACCCAGUUUGUGUUGUUUACUGCUUCAUCCUUAUCUAUCCUCUCCAACAGACUUCCCUAUCCUAAUUAAAUAUUAUCUUUGGGUCUGGAUUUCAUAAUGUCAUUUCAAUUCAACUCUUUUAUUAUCUUAGUUUUUAAUGCGAUCUCAUUUUAAACGUAUAUCAUUUAUGAUUGGUAGCUGGCUGGUAACUCUUUGGUCUUGGUAAAAAGUAGUUAAAUGCUAACAUGUCAUCUUAAUUUUUCUAUUUAUUUUUGGGUGAUUUAAUAGAGAAGUAAAAAUUUAAAUAGAGGACUAAAAUGAUUUAUUUUGGUGAAAGAAUGAGGGCCAACUAAAUUCAUUAAAUGGGUUGGUUGUUAAACAUUAAAAACUUAUAAUAAAUAUAUUUACAAUUUUAUUUUCGAACACGAAGUACCAUGGACAAAAGAAAAUUAAUAAAUAAAAAGCACAUCCAAACUUGAUUUAAAUACAUUAAUAAUAAAAUAGAUCGUUCAGAACUUAAGACGGACCACGACCACGACCACGAAGACAUCCAUCUACAUACUGAGCUAAUCAGAUGAAUAAUUUGUUGAAAAAUGGGUUUAAAGGUCCAUUGAACCCACAACCAAAAUAAAAACUAUUUGACAAACCCAAAUCCCCAACCUUUAUUUCGAUUACUGUAUAAAUUAUAUUUACACAAUUAAUUAAUUUAAAUUUUAAAAAUAUUAAUUACUACAAACAAAUAUCAAUAAUACUUGAAAAAUAAAUCUAUAUAAGGGUGUCUGUUUUCACUGAAAAUGUUCAUUUUGUGAAAAACAAUUUGAUUAACGAAACAUAACUUACACGUUAAUAUAAAGUAAACUCUUCCACUUUUGAAAAGGAAGUUGAAUAAACUAAUAUUGUUAUAUUCAUGAUAAUUUUGCAAAAUUUUUUUUAAAAUUAAAAUAUUGAUAUUAAAUAUUAUAAUUUUCAAUUUUAUUAAACACUCAUAUUUAAUUUUUUAUAUUUAAUAAUAAACUUUAACAUUAAUAAUAAUUUUAAAUUUAAAAAUAUUCUAAAUAUAUUAUUGACAAAUAUUUAUAUUGAUAUUUUAAUAAUAAAUAUAUAUUGUAAACGGUUCAUUUUGCCCGGAGCCCAAAACCAGAAAUUACAACUAAAUAAUUUAAAUCCAAUAUUUAUAAGGUCCAUUUACAUUUGUCUAAAAAGGUCCCAGGUAAAAUCAAACCCAAUACCCAAACAGCCCAUUUACAUUUUAAAUCUAACAAUUUUUUAUGUUUAAACUUCAUCUUUUUGUAAAUUUAUCAUCAAUAUCAUUUUGAUUUGUAAUAUAUCAUUAUUUCAAAUUUAUCAUGUAUUAUUAUUUAAACUUAUCAUAUUUUAUGUAAAUUCAAUAUAAUUUGUGUACAUUCAUUAAUAGUUUUAUAAUAUAUAUAUAUUUAAAAAUUCUCUUUUAUACAUUUCUAUGUUUUAAAAGAUUUGCAUGAUAAUAUUCUUAUACAAUAGUACUUUAUAUAUAUACGUAUAUAAUUUAUAUUAAAUUAUUUUUAUUUUAUAUAUUAUUGAUUUCAUAUUAUUAUAACUAUUGGCCUUAGGUUCUCCUUUAAAUAUGUUUAUAUGUUUUUAAAACCAAUUUUUACAUAUACAAUUUACUUCUUUUAAAAACCCUACUUCGUAUACUUGGGUUUAUUUCAAAUUUCUACAUAUAUUACUAUGUAUAUAUAUAUAUAUUAUCAUUUGUAUUAUUAUUAAGCUUUUCAUUUCAUAUAUAUUAAUUAUUUAGGUUAAUACAUACAUUAUUUUGUACAUUACCUAUUUUGAUUUCAUUGUUAUGCAAUAUUUACUUUAAAAUUCGUCUAUAUAUUAUUGUUUCACAUAGUAUUUAUUUUUAACUCUAUUUUUGGUCUAUUUCGAACUUUCGCAUAUAUUAUUUAUUUUUAUACUUUUUGGAUUUACAAUUUCCUUAACUUUCGCAUAUAUUAUUUAUUUUUAUACUUUUUGGAUUUACAAUUUCCUUUCUUCCAUGCUAUUUUUUUAGUUAUUUCAAAAUUUAUACAUUAGGUUUGCGUUUGUGUUAAUUUGCUUACUUUUUAGGGUUUUUUUACUAGCUUUUAAAUAUGGAUGUUAGUAUUUGCAUAAUGUGUAAUAUAAGAUUGUUGCUCUUAUGUAUAUUGUAUUGCUUAUUCGUAUUUAUUAAUUCUUUGUCGCUCAUUAGUGCACAUUUUAAUUUACGAAUUAUCAUUUCGUGUUAUACAUCGUCAUCCUAUUGUGUUUUAUUUGUCAAAAAGAUUACAUUUAAUUUAAGCAGUAAAAUCGUUUUAUCCAUAAGAUAACGCAAUACUUGGUAUUUGGGAUCUUCGAGAGGAUUGAGCCCUAAUGUAUUGGGUUCCCAUUUUCCUUGUUGAAUCUAAAUAAUCGAGAUUAUUCUUUAAUCAAAACACAUAAAUAAAAAGCUCAUUCUCGAGAAUUCAAUACGUUGUGUCCUAACGCAUUGGAUAUGACAUGUUGUUUUCACAAGAUGAAGAUUUUUCUAAAAAAUAAUAAAGACAAUAUUCAAUGUUUGGAAUUUUGAGAAAUUGUGCACUAAUGUAUUUGGUUUCGAUUUCUUCGUCUAACUUAAACAAUUGAAUAUCCUUUUAAAUUUCAUUGCAUGAGUUUUUUUAAAGGACAGACUCAUUUUUGAGGAUGUGAAAUAUCAUACCCUAACCCAUUGGGUGUGACAUUUUCUCUCUCCAAAAUGAGAGGAUCUUAACAUGUAAUUUAAUUUAUACAAGUUUUUUUAAUACAAGGAUCGUAUUUUAAAAUCUUUGCACAUUCUUGAUAUUAAGACACUAAUUAAUCAACUAGGUACCAAUUUUGGGCGUAUUGAGGGUGCUAAUCCUUCCUCGUGCGUAACCGACUCCCGAACCCGUUUUCUGGAUUUUGUAGACCAAAAAUUAUCGUUUUAGUAAAUUUAAACUUUUAUUAAAAUGAUUAAAUUAUGAGGUGAUCCAAUCACACCUAAAUAAAAAGAUUGGUGGCGACUCCCAUUUUUGUUUUAUUUUAAAUUUUAAGUCGAUCCCUUUUUUUUAAAAAAAAAUGGUUGCGACAUAUAUAAUAAUUUAUAAAUAUUUAAUAAUAGAUGUUUUAUAGUAUAAAAUAUGAAUAUUUUAAUGAUAUAAAUAUGAGUAUUUGUUUAAAUCAUGCUUAGCUUCAUUUAUCCCUUCCAACACCAAUGUGUCACUAUCCACUCUUACAUAUGUAAUAUGUAUAAUUUAAAUUAAUUUUUAGUUAGACAUUGUUUAUUAUUAAUUUAACAUCCCAAAAUUGGCCCGAAAGUUCAGUCAGAUUCAAAGCAUCACGAUUAUUGUUGGAGUGACUCGCUCGAUCAAUCAUUUAAUUAAACACAUUAAAACAUAAAAAUUAAUCAAACAAAAAACAAUUCUUAUAAAUUCUUUUAAAAAAUGAAAUUAAUUAACACAACUUAGUCAAAUAACCAAACAAUUAAUUGAUAUAAAAGUGACAAACUAAUGAGAUGGACCGAAGUAUAAAUUGUCUUUACAAAAUAAAGAUUGCAAAGACUAUCUGGUGGUGAUGCUGCUCAACCGCAAAUUCACGAACUAUCUAUAAUCUGCGCAUGAAGUUAAUAACCUGAAUGUUGAACUUUUCAUAGAAUUCUAACUUUUAUCAUAUGUUAAAGCUACUUAAAAAAACAAAUUUAAAAUGCAUUGCAACAAUUCGAGUAAAGUAAGCAAAAUCUUUAAUACAUUUCAAUAACAAUACAAAAACAGUUAAACCAUUUCCACAAUCCAUCAACAUAAUUCACAUUUUUUUUAUAGAAAAUGAUCAUUUUUAGUAUAAUGUAACUCAAAUAAAAAUUCACAUUUUAAAAAGUAGCCCAUGUAACACAUAUAGGAAGUACAUUUGGAUACAUAAGUAUUCAACCAAACACCAAACGAUCAAUGAAGAAGGCGCAAGACACUUGUUAUAGCGAUAGUGAUACUCUAGUGUGUGAAUGUUUACAACUCAGCCAACCAACACACCAAAUGCACAAUGCACAGCAAUAUCGAUAUUUCCAAAUGCUCAAGGUAGUCCGUACAAUACAGCCAACAAUAUGUGGACCCUAAUACUCUAUGGCAUGUCAACUAUGUUCAAAAGAUUUCGACUAAUUUUACCAUUAAAUUUUAUGAUAAUAAAAAUAAUUUAUAGUGAUGCAUACACGAAUGAGGUGAAAUUUAUUAAAUUAAUUUCACCAAAAUUUCCAAAUUUCAAGUUUAGAAGAUUAGUCGCUUCAAACAUAUUUUUGAAGGUGAUAUAGACAUUUUUGGGUUAAGAUGUCUUCUAACAGAUAAAAGAUCUGUAUUUUAUAAUCGAACACACUUUGAAUCACCUCAUUUUGACUUCAGAAGCUCAAGAUAUGACCAUUUUAGUGAAGACUGUGCAAGUAAAAAUUUUGGACUUGUUUAUUAUGGGAAUUAUUUGUUUUAGAGUUUGUUUAGCUUUUAAGUCGUAUUGGAGUCUAUUUUAAGGCUUAAUUUUGGUCAUAUAUAAGCCCAAUAAUGUAUUUUUUUAAGUAUUAUAUUUUUUAGAUUUAUUUAUUUCUAUUUUUUAAUAUUUUAAAUUAAUAAGAGCUUGACUAGGUCAAAGAAGGUUUAUGCUACUUACUUUGCAAGAUAGUAGACUAAGUUUUAGUAGGUUUAGUAAUUACUUAGGGUUCAAGUAGAACUUAGACAUGCUUAUAAAUAACUAAGCAUAACCAACCACCAUAGUAUGUAUUUUGCUUAAUUUUUUUAUUAAUGAAAUACUUCAAGGGAUAUUUCUUACAAGGUUAGUUUCUUGUUUCUUUCUUGAUAGUUUUUUUUUUUUUGCUUCAAUUUUUAAAGAUUGUAGAGAAGGUUUAUCAUAACUUCAGCUUGCUUAAAUCUUGUCAAUUAGAAUGGUUGAUUAAAAGCCAUUAUAAUUCUUUGUUGGUGCUUGUUCAUCAAAGGAGGCUAGACUACAUAUAUCUAUCUAUUUUUCCACCCUUCACCUAUCAUCUUCUAUUUUCAGUUUUAUCAAUCCAUUAUUUCAUCUUUGCUUAUUUUCUUUAGUUCUAGAAAUUUUUAGCUUUUGUGUCUUGGAACUCAGACUAUCAAUACAUUAAAGUAUAUGAGUCACACAGACAUAGUCUAUCACUUAUUUGGGAUUAAGGCAAGCUACACUAUGAAUGUCACAACUAAAUAAAUCCAUAAAUGGAUCUAAGAUUAAUUAUAAUUAGGUCAUGUCCAAUGUAUUGUUAGUCUAAACAAUUACAUUUAUGUCUAUAUUUUUAGAGAUGCAUUAGCUUCAAUACCCAAGAUAAGGUAUCUCCCAUUUGGACUUAAUAGAUUGCAUAAUAAUUCUUGAAUCAGUCUACUCAAUUUCAGUGCAUUAUGAUCCAACCAUAUAAUGCAACUUAAUAUUAGUUAAACAUUAGAUAAUCAAUAAGUUAAUAUUUGCUUAUUCAUUUUGCUUUGCGUGCAAAAAUCGUUGACAAAUACAAACGAUAUUAAUGUGAAUGAUGUAAUUUUAUCUAGACCAAUCUAUUUGGAAAAUUUCAAGUAGAUUAUGAUGAAAAACUAUACUACGGGCACUGGAUCCCAACAACAAUAAAAAACUUAUACAAUUAUCCAACCCAAUUCUUAUUUUGUUAAAAUCAUGACGACUUACCCAUCUUAGAACCUAUGAGUACAUAAAUUUAAUUGUCUUAUUUAGUAAAACUGUAAUAACUAAUUAAUUUAAUUUCCACUUUUAAUUUCAAUUAUUUAAUUGUAAUCAAUUAAAUAAUAAUUCAAUGAAAUUAAAUUAAUUUCUAAGUCAUCUCUUAUUCCUUUCGAGAAAAUGCAUUUACUACGAAUAGAAUUCAUGUAGUCUAUUUCUCUUUCUUCACUUUUAUUCAUUCAUCAUAUAUAUACAGGGUUGUGUUGAUCUAGCAGAUGGACUGAUUGAACAUAUAUAAUUAGGACUGAUAACUCGCACAAGGGGCGAUCGCUGUUGUUUGAACCGUGUCACGAAAUAUUCAAAUGAUGUGCAAGUGUACACAAUCAUUAACAAGUUGUAUAGCCCAUUAUUGCCCGGGCCCAAUUAACAGAACCCAAACGGCCCAAUAAGCCCAACAGGCCCAGAACCCAGUCAAGGGUUUCAGAAAACAGAAACCCUAGCCAAGCCUAGCGCCGCGCCCAUCCCUCUGCCAUCAUCAUUCGUUUUGUCCCAUCGCCACUCACCACUACUAGCUUCAUCAACGCCUGCAAAAAAAAUGAUAGAAAAAAAGCAGGAGCACGGAACAGAUAGUGCAAGACAGCAAAAUACAAUCAAAAUACAAUGUAAAUGGCUAUAAAAGCCAAACAAUAUCUCUGUACAAUGUUUACAGCGUUUUGAAUUCAAUAAAAAAAGAAAAAAACAAAUAAAAAAAAGGUUGACUCCAGUUUAUUUUUCUCUUUUCUUUUGUUCUUAUUUACAUUACUCUUUUAUUUAUUGUCCAUUUUCUGCAAUCUUUUAACAAAAUCGGGAUUAAAAGGGAAGGGAGUAAAUACCUUACGGCUUCGACAGGCUAGUGUCGGAACCCCGCCUUUGUCGUCGUCAGAGUUGAGCAAAAAGGGGCGUUUCAUCCCUUUUCCUUUUGGACUCACGGUUGAGAAGGCUUAGCCUUCGGGGACGCUGCAAAGCGAAAAAAGAGAGGCCUAGGGGCCGUUCUCGUGCAGCCCCGGCCACUGGCCAUGGAGGCGGAGAUGGUGGCCUGAGCUUUAAGGCCGAGAGAGGCACAGAGAGGAGAGCGUUCGAGCUCUCUGUUCUCUUUUCUUGUUUCUUUCUUUAUUUUUCAUUUUUUUUCUUUUCAUUAGAGAAUGAAAUGGAGGCUGCUAGAUUAGGUUUUUUUUUGGGCCCUUGCGUGACGUGAAACGACGCCGUUUGGAGUCUGAUCAGUGGCUCCAAAACGGCGUCGUAUUGAGCUUUGACCCGCGCGGUGACCCGGCCCAGGGGAAAGAUCCGCGUGUUUUCUUUAAAUGGGAUAUUUGCGCUCGAAGUCCCUCCGACUUUGUAGUGCGUUGCAAUUUGGUCCUAUUUCGCUAUUUCCUCUUUUUAAUUUAGCCCCAGAAUUCUGUUUGUGUUCUAAUUUGACCCUCUGCUACGCAGUGUUUUGGGGCUUCGGGGUAUUUACCAUUUGGUCCCCCCUCUU
rnacentral:lncRNA from 1 species